rnacentral:tRNA from 1 species
GGCCCGCUAGCUUAGCUGGUAGAGCACCUGACUCUUAAUCAGGGGGUCACAGGUUCGAAUCCUGUGCGGGUCACCA